UUAGAUUGCAGACAAACACUAAAAGCACAAUACUUCACACACUUCAAACUUUAAUUUAAUGACCUGACCCCUAGCUUUUUAUAUAAAUACUGCCCCUCAAGAAGCUUAUACACAACAAGUUCUAUAUAUACGGUAUAUUUCGUAGGCAUUUUGCCAGCAAGUUGAUGGUCUUAUCAUGAAUUAAGGCGGAGUGGCUGGUGAGUUCGGGACAAGAGAGGAACUAAUGCUCUUACUAGAGCACCAACCAAAAGUAGAUUCUCAACAUCUCAUAACAGAAUGGAUUACCCUUGUUUUCCGACCCAUCCUCUUUGAGCCCGACCACUCUUUUCAUUUGGAACAAGGUACUUUUCUUCUUCUUCUUUAUCAUCAUAUUGGUUAGCAGCAAUGACGAAGCCAAAAAUUUCUUUAUGAGUGUUCAAAUUUGAAAGAACUAAAAAAAAUUCCGAUAAAAAGUGUUCAAUAUAUGUUAUGUACCUCUAAACCUAAUGUUUUUACCAAUAUAUAAAAUGUAAUUUUUCGGCGACAAAAGUGUAGCUUCACCACUAGUUAGCAGUAUAGGGAAAAAAGGAAGAAAGAUUGAUAUGUAGUGCUAGUUUAUUUCUUCUUUACUGAUUAUAAUUUUUAUUUGAAUGCUUUUUGAAGAAAGUUACAAAUCAUAGGAUUGAUAAUCUCCAUUCGUGUGAAUGCGAGAAACUUCGUGCACCAGGCUGCGAUGGAGUGAGUGGUUUCCAUGCUAUGCUUGAGAAGUGAGCAGUCCUUUUGCUGUUAACCUUUGUCUCAUUGUCUGUUCGACCUUGAAAAUACAAGUUCUUCAUCUACUGUUAGUAACAAACACGUCUCAACCACUUAAUUACCAUGAUAUUGAAGGAGGUGGGGGUAUAUUUUAGCUUUCUUGAUUUUGCAUUUAAAGUUAGUACUUGAAAAACUAAUAUAUAUAUAUAUAUAUAUAUAUAUAUAAUGUAACGUACGGU
rnacentral:lncRNA from 1 species